GUCGAGGACAGUCGGGCUGCAGAGGACUUCCAUGAAGAUCAGGACCAGCAGAUGAGAACAUCAUGUACUCCUCUCUGAAACACUACUACCUGCUGCUGCUUCUGCUCCUCCAACACCUGGCCCAUCCACUCCAGCUGCUGUUCCCACAGAGACCCCAAGGAGGAGACCCCUGAGUGACUCCAGACAGCAGCUGACGGAGGUGGAGAGGAUGUUGCUGGAGGCCCUGAGGACCAGUCCACCUGCAGCAGGAGGUGGAGAGGAUGGAAAGUCUGCUUCCUUCCCUGCAGAGAUUGCUGCUUCAGAUGAACAAAUUUGUCUUCAAAUUCAUAGACUGAUGUAUAAAUAUAGCACUGUUCUGCUUAAUCUAGAACAACUGGAACCUAAGGACUAGUUCUGGUUUCUACAAACUGAGGUAAAUAUCUCUGCAGGGAACGAGCCAGACUUUAAUCUCCUCUCUCUUCCAUUUAACUCC